AUUGAACGCUGGCGGCAUGCCUUACACAUGCAAGUCGAACGGCAGCGGGGGAGAAGCUUGCUCUUCCUGCCGGCGAGUGGCGAACGGGUGAGUAAUACAUCGGAACGUGCCCUGUAGUGGGGGAUAACUAGUCGAAAGAUUAGCUAAUACCGCAUACGACCUGAGGGUGAAAGUGGGGGACCGCAAGGCCUCAUGCUAUAGGAGCGGCCGAUGUCUGAUUAGCUAGUUGGUGGGGUAAAGGCCUACCAAGGCGACGGUCAGUAGCUGGUCUGAGAGGAUGAUCAGCGACCCGGGCAAUGAAACAGGGCCCAGACUAAUACGGGAGGCAGCAGGGGGGAAUUUGGGACAAUGGGCUAAAGCCUGAUCCAGCAAUGCCGCGUGUGUGAAGAAGGCCUUCGGGUUGUAAAGCACUUUUGUCCGGAAAGAAAUGGCUCUGGUUAAUACCUGGGGUCGAUGACGGUACCGGAAGAAUAAGGACCGGCUAACUACGUGCCAGCCGCCGCCGUAA
rnacentral:rRNA from 1 species